rnacentral:rRNA from 1 species
CCUACGGGUGGCAGCAGUGGGGAAUAUUGGGCAAUGGGCGCAAGCCUGACCCAGCAACGCCGCGUGAAGGAAGAAGGCUUUCUGGUUGUAAACUUCUUUCAAGAGGGAAGCGCAGAAGACGGUACCUCUUGAAUAAGACACGGCUAACUACGUGCCAGCAGCCGCGGUAAUACGUAGUUGGCAGGCGUUGUUCGGAUGUACUGGGUGUAAAGGGCGUGUAGCCGGGCUGACAAGUCAGAUGUGAAAUUCCGGGGCUCAACCCCGGACCUGCAUUUGAAACUGGUGGUCUUGAGUAUCGGAGAGGCAGGCGGAAUUCCUAGUGUAGCGGUGAAAUGCGUAGAUAUUAGGAGGAACACCAGUGGCGAAGGCGGCCUGCUGGACGACAACUGACGGUGAGGCGCGAAAGCGUGGGGAGCAAACAGGAUUAGAUACCCGAGUAGUC